CAGUCGCCACGGUAAAACGAGGGGUGCAAGCGUUAUUCGGAUUGGUUGGGUGUAAAGGGUGUGCAGACGGCUUAUUAAGUCACUUGUUAAAUUCUUCGGCCUAACUGAAGGUCUGCAAGUGAUACUGAUGAGCUAGAGGGUGGAAGAGAGAAGUGGAAUUCUCGGAGUAGCGGUAAAAUGCGUAGAUCUCGAGAGGAACACCAAUGGCGAAGGCAGCUUCUUGGUCCAUUCCUGACGUUCAUACACGAAAGCGUGGGGAGCAAACAGGAUUAGAUACCCCCGUAGUCCCUGUCUCUUAUAC
rnacentral:rRNA from 1 species